GACGGAGGAUGCAAGUGUUAUCCGGAAUCACUGGGCGUAAAGCGUCUGUAGGUGGUUUAAUAAGUCAACUGUUAAAUCUUGAGGCUCAACCUCAAAAUCGCAGUCGAAACUAUUAGGCUAGAGUAUAGUAGGGGUAAAGGGAAUUUCCAGUGGAGCGGUGAAAUGCGUAGAGAUUGGAAAGAACACCGAUGGCGAAGGCGGGUCUCUGGGCAGUAACUGACGCUGAGGAGCGAAAGCGUGGGUAGCAAACAGG
rnacentral:rRNA from 1 species